UGGGGGCUUUUCCCUGAGGAGGGAGAAGGGCAACCCAUCAGUGAUGGGCUGCACUUCUCCCUCCUCAGGGAAAAGCCCACAAG